rnacentral:rRNA from 1 species
CCAGGAUUAGAUACCCUAUUAUUCCCAAACCAAACCAACCUAAAGAAGUAAUUGCUAUAUUCAACAAACCUAAAGGAUUUGGCGGUGUUUUACCUACCCAGAGGAACCCGUUCUAUAAUCGUCACAACGCGAAACAUCUUACCUAAAGUAAAUUCAUAUACCGUCAUUUAAACUACACCAAAAAGUAAUGUUUCAAGAAUCUUCUCUCAAAUUAGAUUAGGUGUGGUAUCUUUAGGAACGAAUAGGUUACAUUUUAAAAACAAGUGGACUUUUAUGAAAAUAAAAAGCUAAAAAGGAUUGUCAGUAAUUUA